UGCGCAAGUCAUUGGGACAUAAAGCGAAACCUAAAGGCGAAAUGAAAGUGAAUACACAUGUGCGCAUGUUGUUGUCGCGCCCGUGUAGCAUUUCGGUGGUGCACGCGCGUGCAACACGGUGUACAUAGAGGGAGGAUGGGCCGGCCCGCAGCCGGUCGGCUUCGCACUCCCGGGGCGUCUCGUGUUCAUUGUGAACUGAGGCGCACCUAGAGCGUACACGCUGGGACCCGAAAGAUGGUGAACUAUGCCUGGUCAGGACGAAGUCAGGGGAAACCCUGAUGGAGGUCCGUAGCGAUUCUGACGUGCAAAUCGAUCGUCGGAACUGGGUAUAGGGGCGAAAGACUAAUCGAACCAUCUAGUAGCUCGUUCCUUU
rnacentral:rRNA from 1 species